GGAGGAACAUUGACUUCAGCAAUAAAACAGCCAGCUUUUCAAAACAGAGUAUCAGUAAGAAGUUAGUCAGGGAGAAAGAGAUAUUGAAGGAGAGGGAGAAUGUAAGCAGAAAAAGCACAGAGGAAAAAGAGGGUGAGAAAUUAGAGAGCUCCCCUCCACAGGCCAUUUCAUCUGAGGUGGCAGCCCACAUAAGUUCAACACUCAGAUGGUCUGUGUCAAAAUGAGGGCAGGGGGAGUUACUGCAGUAGUGGACUGAACCUUCAAGAGAGUGUUGAAGUUCAAAGCAAGAGAGGGAGGGGUGCUGCGUGUUUUUGGUAGACAGGAGGGGAACAGCAUUCACUGCACAUGCUAGGUUUUCCGCAUUUUCAGCAGAUCCCAUGACCCCAAAAAACUAAAAUAAUGGAUAAGAAAAGUGCAAAUGGCUUUCCUUCCAAGACAUCUGAGAGUGGACUGCAGAGGAAACAGCUGCCGUAUUCCGUAGAGACGCCCUAUGGGUUUCACCUGGAUCUGGACUUCUUGAAAUAUGUAGAUGACAUCGAAAAGGGGAACACAAUCAAGAGGGUACACAUCCAGCGCAAGAACAAGGGGCCAAAAUACAGCACACUGCCACGGAACUUCAGCCUUCCUGGGCAUGGUGCUCGACCUCUAGCCAAAGAUACAUGGGCCAAUACUUCCACUUUAGGGUCCAAACCUAAGUCACGUGUCACUGAAGUCCAGCAGCUUUUCAAGUUCCAAGCCAGUGAUGCCACUAGUAGUAGCAGUAGUGGAAGCUCCCCUGCCAGCCAGUCAAAGGUGCUUGCAAAUACUUAUCUCCCUUCCCCCAAAGCUAGAGAAGAGUCUCAAAUACAGACCUCCAAUGAACAGUCCAUGGGCCUUAAUGUCAGGCCUAAUUUGUUUAGAGCCUCUAGCAUGCCUGUUAACGUCCCAUGCCGGAAAGGUUCAGACUCAACUGAUGAACAGAGUUCACAAUCGCAAAAUGGCUCAGCAGAGAAACUUUUUCGGCCGGCAGACGAUGGCGACAGGAGAGGCAGUGUUCCCCAGGACAGGGCCAGCAUACACCAACAGAUCACGGCUGCGCUGAAAAGAGUUCGUGAGUUAGAGGAUCAAGUCAGGACCAUCCCAGAGCUGAGGUCUCAAAUAUGCUCUCUUAGAGCAGAGAGGGAGCAACUGCUUCAAAGAAUUCAGCAGCAGCAGUCUGAACAAAAGAUCCCUUUGCAUUUGGAGAGUAAGGUUCCUCAAAGUGAAUCUCAAGACAAAGCUGUCUGUCCAGUUAUAAUAGAGUGGACAGAUACUCCCUCCCUUUCCACGGACACUACAUCUGAUCAUGGAAAGCCUCAAGUAGUACAGUCAGACAAAACCACAGAACAACAGGUGGAGAAACAAAAUGUUCUGGCACAGAAUGUUGUAGAGAAAGAGUUUGAGAAAUAUGAACCGGUAACUGAUGCAGAGUCAAAGAAGGAACAAGUGCCAGCUCCGGUGUCUGUGCCAGUGAUACUCAUAGAGAAGGCAGAAACACCCACUGAUCCAGAAGAAUCAGAGAGACUUUUGAAUGAUUCUAUACUUCAGGCAGAAGCAUCAGAGAAUGUUUCAGAUCCAGUUGAAAAGCAGGAGAAAUCAUCAGAGACUUUGUUAGGAGAUGAACAGUCCACAAUCUCAGAAGGAAUUUCAGAAACAGAGGAAUCAGGUGCUACAUUUGAAUGUAAGUCCACUCAAGGAGAUGCUGUAAAAAUGCUGGCUGAGGGACCAAGUGUAAUUAUAAUUGCAGAGAAUACAAUCUCCCAACCUGGUGAGCAGAAGCUUCUCACAAACCAGGAGCUAGAAGUAAAACUGAAAACUUUGGAAAAAUGUCUAAAUAAGGCCAGCUGUGAACUGGAAAUGACAAACACCUUACUGAGGGAGCAGAUGGACGAGAAUAGACGAAAGGAUGAGAGAAUACAGGAACUGAUCGACAGAGUCGAGGAGCAAAAAACUCAAGGUCCUGAACUUGUUCUCACUUGUGAUGCAUCAGUCAGUACAGACAGCAAAAGUGUCCUGGAGAAAGCAAUCUCAACAGAACCUCAACCAGAUGAUGGUCCCAAAGAAACAGACAUGAAAUGCUCAAGCACUCAAACAAAUUCUGUGGAAGCAAGAGACAUUGAAGUCUUGGCACAAGUCACUACAGAAGACAAAAUUGUAGGAGUAGAGAUUGUCAUGUGUGACCGGGCAAUGCAGAAUGAAGUCCAGGAUAAUCUUGAAGAUAUUAGUCAUGGAGAAGUCUCUGAAAUGUUAGGGAAGACAGAUGCAGUAGAAGACAAUAAAACAGAGGGUGAUAUCGAAGAAAGUGUAUCAAGUCAAAUUAAAGAAACCGAGGUCAGUGAAAAUGUGGUUGCAGAGAGUUACAUUGAAGAAUACGUAAUGAUAGAAAGUGUCAUGGUUGAGAAUAUGGCCAGUGAAAGUGAAGUCUUUAAGACCUCAGUUGCAGAGGAAGAAUCUGUUGAGAAUGCAAGUGUUGGAAGCACAGUAUCAGAUAAAACAAGAGUUGAAAAAAGUACAGGUUUACAAACACAACAGGAGCAAAAGUACACACAAGAAGAAGAACCACACCUUCAGCCUCAGAGGGCAGCUGAGGCCUCUGCUUCUCCGGCUGCAAUCGGUCAGGUUGUUAAUCGUAUACAGGGGCUUCUCAAUGAGCAGUGGGCCAGCUUGGGAAGUGGGGGCCAGGAUGCAAAAGGAGAGAGCUCCCAGAAACCUCAUGCAUCCAAAAUAAGCUCAAUUCAAAGCCACCUGAGAGGCUCCCUUAGUGCCUUGUCUGCCUUCUACUCACCUGUUCAGAAAGGAGGGGCUGCACAACAAUCUGGCCUAAAAUCCAUCAUGAAGAAGAAUGACUGUCCUGACAAGCAGAGCAACGGGGGAGCAAAGAAGAACUUGAAGUUUGUUGGCGUAAAUGGAGGCUAUGAGACCACCUCCAGUGAGGACUCCAGUGGGGAGGAGGAUCAAGAAGAGGGGGAGGAGGUGGAUAGCUCGGAGUCUGAGGUGGAGCAGGGAGAGGAGAGUGCAAUGACCCAGGAAGAGGCUGCUGCUACUGGGGAGGAAGGUGACGCAGCUCAGGCAGAGGUGGCAGAGGGCUCUGUGGAGCCUGAUGCCGGUCAGGCUGCCAUGAGUCCCCAGGAGGAGCAGCCUGUCAGUGAUUUAGUUGAUAAGAACUUCAUGGCUGCUUGUCAUUUCCUGAAGGAUCGCAUGGCUGAAGUUGCUACCCCAAAUAAAGAGAUGAGGCAGGUUCUGAUGGUGCUCUAUCAGGAGUGGUUCCGUGUGUCCAGUCAGAAGGACUCAGAGGCUGAUACAGUCACUCUGUACCUGAGGGAAGUUGGUUUCCACACACCCACUCUUCUGCGCUACAUAGUGAACCUGGCUGAUGGUAAUGGCAACAUGGCACUGCACUACAGUGUGUCCCAUUCCAACUUCUCUGUGGUCAAGCUGCUAUUAGACACAGGGCUGUGUGAGGUGGAUCACCAGAACAAGGCGGGCUACACUGCUAUAAUGUUGGCAGCUCUUACUGCGGCAGAGAGCUCUGAGGACAUGGAAGUGGCUCAGCAGCUACUGAGAAUGGGCAAUAUCAAUGCACGAGCCAGCCAGUCAGGGCAAACAGCACUGAUGCUUGCAGUUAGUCAUGGCCGGACAGUGAUGGUUCAGGUUCUUCUGGAAUGCGGGGCUGAUGUGAAUAUACAGGACCGGGAUGGAUCCACUGCCCUGAUGUGUACCUGUGAGCACGGCCAUACUGAAAUAGCCAAAAUGCUGCUGGAGAGACAAGACUGUGACACAUCACUCACAGAUAAGGCGAAGACCAUUGCAUGGUCAGGUAUAUUGACAUAUAUACUGUAGAUGACAUCAUUGUCUACUCAAAGACCCCAGAGCAGCACUCCAAGGACCUCAGCACCAUCUUCCAAAGACUUGACCAAGCCAACCUCACCCUCAACAUGAACAAGUACCACUUCUUUAAAAAAGAGUAAAGUUCCAGGGGCAUAUCAUCUCAGGCCAAGGAGUGGAAGUCGACACGUCCAAGACAGCAGUAAUCCAGGAGUACCCUGAACCGACGUAGGUAAAGUCUCUCCAGUGCUUUCUUGGCUGGCAGGAUGGUACCUAAGUUCAUCCCCAGUUUCGCUGACCUGGCUGCUCCACUCAACAACCUAAAAAGGAAGAGAGUCCAAUGGAAAUGGACAGCUGAGUGUCAGGCAGGAUUCUAAGCACUCAAAGGGGCACUACAGAAACCACCUGUACUGUACCAAACCUCUCUCUGCACUUUCAGGUCCACACUGAUGCCAGUGACCUGGGACUGGGGGCCAUAUUGACCCAACAGAUGGACCAAGGAGAGUGAGUCAUAAUCUAUGCACCUAGAGUGAUGAAAGGGGCCAAGCUAAACUACUCCACAUCAGAAAAGGAGUGUUUGACAGUAGUCUGGGCUGUGGCAAAAUUGAGGCACUUCCUUGAAGGAGUGGAUUUUGAGGUCUACACAGACCAUGCUGCAUUAUCCUGUUCAUUUAACUGUCUAGUUAACAAGGUGGACACUCAGCCUCCAACAGUUUAACCAGACCAACCUACCUCACACCUUGGCCAAAAUUGCUCUAGCCCAAGCACAAGACCAAGAGCUGAAACAUCUAUCCACCAAGAAUCAGGACCGUAAUUCCAUAACACCUAGGAUCACUUUGGAAGGUCACCAGGGUGUGUUAUACAGAAGACUGCUGCUCCGGGACAAAGGUGAAAAGUUCCAGCUGGUGGUGCCUUGGACCUUGUUACCAGACUCCCUUCACUACUUCCACAAUAAUCCAUUAGGAGGACACCUAGGAAGGCUAAAGACCUUACUAAAUAUAUUGGAUGUAUCUUGGUGGCCUUCCGUGAGGAAAUACGUGUGGGAGUAUGUGAAGCGUUGUACCACCUGUCAGCAGAAUCAGGCCGAGAACACUAAGCCUGCCAGUUUGAUGCAGUCAACCGAAGUACCGGAGCCUGGGCAUACCCUGGGAAUCGAUCUGAUGGGACCGUUCCCGUCCAGCCAUAAUCGCAACUCGUAUCUACGUGUCAUAGUCGACUAUUACACCAAGUGGGUGGAGCUAUUCCCUAUGAAAGACAGCAGGACACCCAAGAUCGUGAAGAUCCUAUGGGAGGAAAUCUUUAUCUGCUGGGGGAGUCCCCAAAUACCUGAUUUCUGAUCAGGGACCCCAAUUCACGUCUGAGAUCCUGAAGGCCACCUGCUAGAAUUGGGGCAUAACACAGAAAUUGACGACAAGCUACCAUCCACAGACCAAUCUGAUGGAGAGAGUCAACAGGACACUGAAGGAUGGACAUACAGCUUUGUCAGUAGCCAUGAAGUUUUCCCACUCUGAGAUAGUUGACCUUCUGAAUGUUCAUGCUGAUCCAACCGCUGUCACAGAUCCUACAGCUCCACUCUGAGUCCAAAGGCCUUGUCUUCAUCCUCAACUGGCUCUGCCACAUUUAUCUUUCUACUGCCUCAAACAGACUCUACUGGGCAGCUCAACAGUCAACAAUAUCGAGACAGCACUUGCCAGAAAUUUGCAGAUUCUCUACCUAACAACAAAUGGCCAAUCAGAAAUGACCUUCUGUACGCUAAGCAAAUAUGCCAUUUUAUAAAAAAGGCCAUGGAGGGUGGGCUUGCCUAAACUUCACAUAAGGUCCUCAUUUGUCCUGAAGCACAGCUGCUGUAGCUAUUUUCAAAAUGUUACAUUUGCGUUGAUCAGUCAUGGUACAUUGUUACAUGUUUUGGCCUUCUAUUUUCAGGUAAUGUGACUAUAUUUUUGCGAUGAAGAAUAACCUAUGAAUGUUAUCAAAGUAAUUAUCAGAUGCACACUAUAUUUAUUUAUCUUUUUUAUUGCACUUUUCUGUAACAUUUCCCCCUGGGAUGUAUGUAAGGCCUGACUCAGUAUAGCCUGAUGUGUCCUAUGUGAGAGUUAUUGUGUCAGGCCCAGUACAGAACCGUUCCAGGGAAAUUAGUUUUAUAGUUGCAUAGUUACAGUAUGUUGCCAGUAUGUCUCCCGUCAUACUGUAGUAUCUGUACAUCUCAGCAGAGAGCGAGGGACUGAUAAGAAAAAACCUGAGAGGUGAUUUAGAAAGCUUUAGUAUGAUGUUCUAUGAAAUGUUUGAAGCACUUAAAUGCUGGUCAAUGAAACUCGUGAACUAUGUGUUAAUAUACCAACAUUGUUCCCUUCAACUGAAUAGUUUAGAAUGAAUCUUUAUGACUGACAUAAUUUAUUUUAUCCAUUAUCAUUUAUUCUAUGUCAAAGUUUACAGUAUACUCUAACCGGCUGCAAUAUUAGCUCUUACUACAUUAUAACUUGCCAUUUUGCAAACUGAAUAUAAGUUUCCAAGACACAAAUUAAAGCAGCACAUAAUAAUGGGCUAGACUGUUGUCACAUUCUCUGUACGUUGUGCCUGCUUGAAAUUAAGGUGUCAAACUUUGUGAUGAAGAUAUAUGUUUAAUGACAAAUCAAUAAGUCAGCCGAACAAAAUAUUAAUUUAUAUAUGUGUACUGUGCAACAGUAUCUUGUGGGAGGUGCUGUGAACUAAUACCCUAAAAUGUAAUGACUUUAUUUACAAUUCUAUAUUUUUGAGUAUAUAGAAGUAUAUGCAUGGAUAAAAUAUACAUUUUAUAAAAACA